AUGAUGUUUAGGUUAGAUAUUUAGUACAAUUGUAUUGUCGUUCCUUUAUUGAAAUUGGUUUCUUUUCACACCACAGGGCCUACCAGAGCAAGAUCUGUCAAACAACUGUGGGCUGUUUGUUUUGAUGUAUGCUUUGUACAUCAUAACAAAGGCGCAAUGUGAUUUCACUGAGGUAUGUAUAGAUAAGCAUUUGAAAAUAUAUUGUCACCAGUGGAUACAAGGCUUUUUAGGAUACGUGUUUAUUAUUCUGUUUUACUUUAUGACCAAAUCUAUUUUCUUUUUAGAUAACGCAGAAAGAAUACAUACAAGGGGACGUUGGGACUGGGAGCUUGAUGAUCUUUUAAGAGACACUCUAAAGGCAGCAGAGUGGUGUCAAACUCAGAGCUUUCCAGACAGGCUCUCCCUCCCCAGUCUCAUUGGGAUGGACGGGGAGGAUCGCAUCAACACGCUCCAACAACUGGGGUCGUAUGAUCGCCAGGAGGAAACCACUAUCCUCAUGGAACCUUUAUGUAAAAAGACAUCAGACUUAUGUAAUUUUUGCUGCAAAUUAUGGACAAGCUGAUACCUAAAAGGCUGAUUUUGUUGGCAUGUACAGUUCGGUCUGUCACUCUAUAAAACAGCUUGAUAUUGUUUAUAGGGGGCCCUACAUUUUUUAUUGUAAUUUAUUUGAAUUCUGCUAACAGUACAAUUUUUCUUUCCUUAUUUCUUCAAACACAGGCAAUGAUUAUUUCACAAAUAUACUGGUGUCACAUGUCUAAUUAAGAAGCAGUGUUCAUGAUAGAUGUUCAUGAUAGAUGUUCAUGGCAGACUUCAGGCCACCUGACUUCAGGAGGAGCCCAGCCCAAACCGCCCCCCUCACCAUGUGCGACUCCCCAGUUAAAACAGUGGAGUCUUUCAGAUUCCUGGGGACUAUAAUUGCACAG